CCUACGGGAGGCAGCAGUGGGGAAUAUUGCGCAAUGGGCGAAAGCCUGAUGCAGCGACGCCGCGUGAGGGAUGAAGGUCUUCGGAUCGUAAACCUCUGUCAGCAGGGAAGAAAGGUCACUGUGCUAAUCAGCAGUGAAUUGACGGUACCUGCAAAGGAAGCACCGGCUAACUCCGUGCCAGCAGCCGCUGUAAUACGGAGGGUGCGAGCGUUAAUCGGACUUACUGGGCGUAAAGCGCUCGUAGGCGGUAUGUUAAGUCAAGGGUGAAAUCCCCGCGCUCAACGUGGGAACUGCCUUUGAAACUGGGAAACUGGAGUGUGUGAGAGGAUAGUGGAAUUCCAGGUGUAGGAGUGAAAUCCGUAGAUAUCUGGAGGAACAUCAGUGGCGAAGGCGACUAUCUGGCACAUAACUGACGCUGAGGAGCGAAAGCGUGGGUAGCAAACAGGAUUAGAUACCCCAGUAGUC
rnacentral:rRNA from 1 species